rnacentral:rRNA from 1 species
UACGUAGGGGCCUAGCGUUGUCCGGAAUUAUUGGGCGUAAAGAGCUCGUAGGCGGUUCGUCGCGUCGGCUGUGAAAUCCCGGAGCUCAACUCCGGGUCUGCAGUCGAUACGGGCGGACUCGAGUUCGGCAGGGGAGACUGGGAUUCCUGGUGUAGCGGUGAAAUGCGCAGAUAUCAGGAGGAACACCGGUGGCGAAGGCGG